GCAAGUCGAACGGAAAGGCCUGCUUUCCCUUGUGGAUUGCGGGUACUCGAGUGGCGAACGGGUGAGUAAGACGUGAGUGAUCUGCCACCAACUUGGGUAUAAGCCUGGGAAACUGGGUCUAAUUCCCGAUAGGACUGCAGGGUGGUGCCUGUGGUGGAAAACGAUUUGCUAUUGGUUUGGGAUGAGCUCGCGGCCUAUCAGCUUGUUGGGGGGGUAAUGGCCUACCAAGGCGGCGACGGGUAGCCGGCUUGAGAGGGUGGAC
rnacentral:rRNA from 1 species